UACGUAGGAUGCGAGCGUUGUCCGGAAUUAUUGGGCGUAAAGAGAACGUAGGCGGUUUCUUAAGUCUGGUCUUAAAGACCGGGGCUCAACCCCGGGAGUGGAUCGAAAACUGGGAGACUGGAGGACGGCAGAGGAAAGUGGAAUUCCGAGUGUAGCGGUGAAAUGCGUAGAUAUUCGGAGGAACACCAGUGGCGAAAGCGGCUUUCUGGGACGUUCCUGACGCUGAGGUUCGAAAGCUCGGGGAGCAAACAGG
rnacentral:rRNA from 1 species